rnacentral:rRNA from 1 species
CACAGUGUAGCAAUACAUGGGUGGCGACCGGCAAACGGGUGCGGAACACGUACGCAACCUUCCUUCAGGCGGGGAAUAGCCCAGAGAAAUUUGGAUUAAUACCCCAUAAUAUUUUGAGAUGGCAUCAUCUUAUUAUUAAAGCUACGGCACCUGGAGAUGAGCGUGCGGCUGAUUAGGUAGUUGGCGGGGUAAUGGCCCACCAAGCCUACGAUCAGUAGCUGAUGUGAGAGCAUGAUCAGCCACACGGGCACUGAGACACGGGCCCGACUCCUACGGGAGGCAGCAGUAAGGAAUAUUGGUCAAUGGACGCAAGUCUGAACCAGCCAUGCCGCGUGGAGGAUGAAGGUCCUCUGGAUUGUAAACUUCUUUUAUCUGGGACGAAAAAAGGGUUUUCUAACUCGUCUGACGGUACCAGAUGAAUAAGCACCGGCUAACUCCGUGCCAGCAGCCGCGGUAAUACGGAGGGUGCAAGCGUUAUCCGGAUUCACUGGGUUUAAAGGGUGCGUAGGCGGGCAUUUAAGUCAGUGGUGAAAUACCUGAGCUCAACUUGGGAACUGCCAUUGAUACUAUUUGUCUUGAAUGUCGUGGAGGUUAGCGGAAUAUGUCAUGUAGCGGUGAAAUGCUUAGAUAUGACAUAGAACACCUAUUGCGAAGGCAGCUAACUACGCGAAUAUUGACGCUGAGGCACGAAAGCGUGGGGAUCAAACAGGAUUAGAUACCCUGGUAGUCCACGCCCUAAACGAUGAUUACUCGACAUUAGCGAUACACUGUUAGUGUCUGAGCG